rnacentral:piRNA from 1 species
AUUCUGCUUGUUGGUCCGGGGAUAGACCA